GUGAGCUUGUGGCCUGUGGUGUUUGUUUUUCUUUCAGCCACAUGUUUGCUGCUUAGAUUUUGUUUGUUUGGGAACAGAAUUGAACGUUUUUUUCUGUUUUUAGUCUCAUUCAUUACUGGGUGAAUUAGAAUUGUUGGUGAACUCCUGUCGAAAGCAGAGGUGGUUUAAGUGGAUCAGACACACUCCCCCUCGUCCCUCUGUCUCUUCUGCACUUUCUUUGAGGCACUGUUAAUUGCAGAGGAUGUCUGCAUCAGAGAAAGACAUUUUGGACAGACUUGGGCUGUAGCGCCGCCACUGCAGUCGCAUGGUGAUCACAUUUUAAUGAAGGUGUGGAGACGCGACCAGGCUGAAGCACUGACAUGACGGGAAAAACACAGGCUUUGUGUGAGUCAGGUGUGACCUUCAGCGCCAUCGAACUUCGAAUGUGAAAUUGUUAUCUUCAGCGCUGAAUGUCAACAACGGAUUCAACAAAAGAAAGUGAUGAUCAGGAAAGCUGCGCGGAGAUAGCAGCGCAGAGAUAGCAGCAGGGCUGUCCACAUGAAAAGGAAACCAAUCACUCCGAGCUGGGCAGAACAUUACACAGGACAGAAGCUGCUGUGAUUACCAUCACUGGAGACACAGGGGUGUGUGGCUGUGAAUGGAUGAUAUUGUGUGAGAUAAGCAAUGGAUGCACUUUGUGUGUGUGUGUGUGUGUGUGUUUGGUAUGGAAGAACACCAGCAGCUCUUUUUGAUGCCUGUUGUGAUGCAGAUGAAAGUGAGCUGCUUUCAUCUGCAUCACAACAAGAGGGUCUGAUUUCUAAGAUCCUCCAUGCCACAGGGAAUAGGAAAACCACAGUCUGAAUGGAUGCAAACAGCAGCACAGUCUUUAUCAGCAACUCUUCUCUGAAAUGGAAUCCUUAUCAAACAGAUGAUCAUUCAGAAAUGACACCGAUCAUAUCUCCAAAAUACUGAAAGGACUGAAUUCCUUCAUUGGUUCUUCUUGUUUCUUUCUUUUUUCUAUAUGUGAGUGUUUCUGAAUGCAUUCAGAGUCAGAAGCAGCUG